UACGUAGGGGGCUAGCGUUGUCCGGAUUUAUUGGGCGUAAAGAGCGUGUAGGCGGCCAGGUAGGUCUGCUGUGAAAACUCGAGGCUCAACCUCGAGACGUCGGCGGAAACCAUCUGGCUAGAGUCCGGAAGAGGAAAGUGGAAUUCCAUGUGUAGCGGUGAAAUGCGUAGAGAUAUGGAGGAACACCAGUGGCGAAGGCGACUUUCUGGUCUGUAACUGACACUGAGGCGCGAAAGCGUGGGGAGCAAACAGGG
rnacentral:rRNA from 1 species